rnacentral:rRNA from 1 species
AGUGAACGCUGGCGGUAGGCCUAACACAUGCAAGUCGAACGGCAGCACAGUAAGAGCUUGCUCUUACGGGUGGCGAGUGGCGGACGGGUGAGGAAUACAUCGGAAUCUACUUUUUCGUGGGGGAUAACGUAGGGAAACUUACGCUAAUACCGCAUACGACCUACGGGUGAAAGCAGGGGAUCUUCGGACCUUGCGCGAUUGAAUGAGCCGAUGACGGAUUAGCUAGUUGGCGGGGUAAAGUCCCACCAAGGCGACGAUCCGUAGCUGGUCUGAGAGGAUGAUCAGCCACACUGGAACUGAGACACGGUCCAGACUCCUACGGGAGGCAGCAGUGGGGAAUAUUGGACAAUGGGCGCAAGCCUGAUCCAGCCAUACUGCGUGGGUGAAGAAGGCCUUCGGGUUGUAAAGCCCUUUUGUUGGGAAAGAAAAGCAGCAGGUUAAUACCCCGCUGUUCUGACGGUACCCAAAGAAUAAGCACCGGCUAACUUCGUG